rnacentral:rRNA from 1 species
UACGGGGGGGGCAAGCGUUGUUCGGAAUUACUGGGCGUAAAGGGCUCGUAGGCGGCCAACUAAGUCAGACGUGAAAUCCCCAGGCUCAACCUGGGAACUGCGUCUGAUACUGGAUGGCUUGAAUCCGGGAGAGGGAUGCAGAAUUCCAGGUGUGGCGGUGAAAUGCGUAGAUAUCUGGAGGAACACCGGUGGCGAAGGCGGCGUCCUGGACCAACACUGACACUGAGGAGCGAAAGCCAGGGGAGCAAACGGG